AUUGAACGCUGGCGGCAAGCCUAACACAUGCAAGUCGAACGAGUGGCGGACGGGUGCGUAAUGUCUGGGAAACUGCCUGAUGGAGGGGGAUAACUACUGGAAACGGUAGCUAAUACCGCAUACCCUCGGAUGUGCCCAGAUGGGAUGAGCGAGUAGGUGGGGUAAAGUCUCACCGAGGCGACGAUCCCUAGCUGGUCUGAGAGGAUGACCAGCCACACUGGAACUGAGACACGGUCCAGAGUCCGACGGGAGGCAGCAGUGGGGAAUAGUGCACAAUUGGCGCAAGCCUGAUGCAGCCAUGCCGCGUGUAUGAAGAAGGCCUUCGGGUUGUAAAGUACUUGCAGCGGGGAGGCGUUACCCGCAGAAGAAGCACCGGCUAACUCCGUGCCAGCAGCCGCGGUAAUUC
rnacentral:rRNA from 1 species